AGAGUUUGAUCAUGGCUCAGAACGUACGCUGGCGGCACGCCUAACACAUGCAAGUCGAACGAAGUAGCAAUACUUAGUGGCAGACGGGUGAGUAACAUGUGGGUAUCUGCCCUUUGGCCUGGAAUAACACGAGGAAACUUGUGCUAAUACCGGAUAAGUCUUUACGGAGAAAGCUUUAUGCACCAUUGGAUGAGCCCGCACUUGAUUAGUUUGUUGGUGGGGUAAUGGCCUACCAAGACUGUGAUCAAUAGCUGAUUUGAGAGGAUGAUCAGCCACAUUGGGACUGAGACACGGCCCAAACUCCUACGGGAGGCAGCAGUGGGGAAUCUUGCACAAUGGAGGAAACUCUGAUGCAGCGAUGCCGCGUGAGUGAAGAAGGCCCUUGGGUUGUAAAGCUCUUUCGUCGGGGAAGAAAAUGACUGUACCCGAAUAAGAAGGUCCGGCUAACUUCGUGCCAGCAGCCGCGGUAAUACGAAGGGACCUAGCGUAGUUCGGAAUUACUGGGCUUAAAGAGUUCGUAGGUGGUUGAAAAAGUUAGUGGUGAAAUCCCAGAGCUUAACUCUGGAACUGCCAUUAAAACUUUUCAGCUAGAGUAUGAUAGAGGAAAGCAGAAUUUCUAGUGUAGAGGUGAAAUUCGUAGAUAUUAGAAAGAAUACCAAUUGCGAAGGCAGCUUUCUGGAUCAUUACUGACACUGAGGAACGAAAGCAUGGGUAGCGAAGAGGAUUAGAUACCCUCGUAGUCCAUGCCGUAAACGAUGUGUGUUAGACGUUGGAAAUUUAUUUUCAGUGUCGCAGCGAAAGCGAUAAACACACCGCCUGGGGAGUACGACCGCAAGGUUAAAACUCAAAUGAAUUGACGGGGACCCGCACAAGUAGUGGAGCAUGUGGUUUAAUUCGAAGAUACGCGCAGAACCUUACCAACACUUGACAUGUUCGUCGCGACUCUAAGAGAUUAGAGUUUUCGGUUCGGCCGGACGAAACACAGGUGCUGCAUGGCUGUCGUCAGCUCGUGUCGUGAGAUGUUGGGUUAAGUCCCGCAACGAGCGCAACCCUCACUUUUAGUUGCCAUCAUUAAGUUGGGCACUCUGAAAGAACUGCCAGUGAUAAGCUGGAGGAAGGUGGGGAUGACGUCAAGUCCUCAUGGCCCUUACGUGUUGGGCUACACACGUGCUACAAUGGUAUCUACAACAGGAAGCAAGACUGCGAGGUCAAGCAAAUCCUUAAAAGAUACCUCAGUUCGGAUUGCACUCUGCAACUCGAGUGCAUGAAGCUGGAAUUACUAGUAAUCGUGGAUCAGCGUGCCACGGUGAAUGCGUUCCCGGGUCUUGUACACACCGCCCGUCACACCAUGGGAGUUGGUUCUACCUUAAGGCAAGGUUUCAAACCCUUGACCACGGUAUAGUCAGCGACUGGGGUGAAGUCAUAACAAGGUAGCCGUA
rnacentral:rRNA from 1 species